GUUCUGGGUCAGACCUUUUCCAGAUCUCAGGUCUGACUUGCACUCCAGUAGCAUUUGUGCCUAUCCUCCAAGCCGUGGGAGAGGACACACCAUUUCAGCUCAGGCUCUUCAGCCGCCUGCUCUUCCCCUUUGUGGGCAGUGGUCCUGCACUCACCAUGACCUCCUUCGUAGCUUGCUUGAGCUUUCUUCACAGCACUUCCCCUUCUUCAAGGUGGAUAGCCUGUUACUGAACUUGGAGUGGAGGUAUCAAUCUGGCCCACCGGUGGAAGGAUGCCCAGGAUAUUAACAUUAAAGAGGAUUUUAGGAAACAAGAGUUUUGUUUUGUGGCUUCAUGCUGGGCUCAGGAAAACUGCAGCUCCUUUUCACCAAAAAGGUAUGAAACAACCUUGGGAAAAAAACAGGAAACAGAUGACAAACUGUAGAGCACUAUUGUUAGCCAGCACAUCUUCCUCAAUGGCAAGGUGGAGAAAAACCACAGUUGUCUUAGUACAGAAAAAUGACCUCAUCUCAUAGGAUGAAUUUCUCUAUGUAUGUAGAAAGGGGAUUUAACAGAAUGACUCACAGACAGUGGUCCUCCUAGUCCAAUAAUGGCUGAGCAGAUUCAUUGCCAAGGGAAACUAGAAAAAUCAAGGACUUGUUCAGUUCACGUUGCUUGAUAUCUCAGCGGAUCUUGAGUACUUCCCAGAAUUCUGAAGAAAUAAGUAUUACUAAUGCCAGUUUCAAAACAAAACAAAACAAAUGAAUGAAUGAAUAAACAAAACACCUUGCUAAAAAAUGUAGGGAAGGAAGAAGACAAUUUGAAAGAACCUCCCUGUUUAAUAUCCAGUAAAGCCUCAUUAAAAACAAAUAAAUCAAUACAAAGGCUGAAAGAUCAAGCACAGGUCUUGUGUCUUCUAAAUUAAACAACAACCAUCUUCAUACCUUCAGCUUCAUUGAAUUAAAAUAACCACAGCAGGACUUUUUAAAUGUUACUA
rnacentral:lncRNA from 1 species